rnacentral:rRNA from 1 species
UACGAAGGGGGCUAGCGUUGUUCGGAAUUACUGGGCGUAAAGGGCGCGUAGGCGGUGUGUCAAGUCAGGCGUGAAAGCCCCGGGCUCAACCUGGGAACCGCGCUUGAGACUGGCACGCUAGAGUUCGGGAGAGGAUGGUGGAAUUCCCAGUGUAGAGGUGAAAUUCGUAGAUAUUGGGAAGAACACCGAUGGCGAAGGCAGCCAUCUGGACCGACACUGACGCUGAGGCGCGAAAGCGUGGGGAGCAACCAGG